UUGCAAUUCAAUCAGAUACUUUAACUAUGGCCGAGGAUGAUGACGUAGGUUCGGUGGCUAAUGUUUCAGAAUCCAGUGUGGCUGUAGCUGCUGGUGAAACCCUAGCUGAGACUAUGGCUUCCGAGGGUGGGGAAGAUGGAGGUGAGAUAAUGGUGGAGGUGGUGGGUUCUGAUGUGUUCGUUGAUGGGGUUGGGGGUGAAGGGGGUGGAGGGGAUUGGAAUGCAGAGGAGGGUGGCGUUGCGGUGGUGAGAGAGGGGUUGGAUAGGGAAAUUGAAUCCGCUGACGGUGGAGAUGGUGCAGUCGGUGAUUUGGAACCACGGGAAGUUGGGGACUUGGGUGGUGGUCAGGCCUGUGAAGAUGGAACUGAGUCUCAGGUUGAAGGUUGCCAGGAAAUUGCUGGCCUGUUGGUUGAACAAGUGCAUGUUAAUGCAGAUGAAGUUCCUGUGAGGGGUGAGGAGGGCUUGGAGAAAAGUGAGCAGUUGAUUGGAGGAGGGGAUGAUGCUGGUGAUGUUUUGGUUGCUGAUGGAACAAGUGGUUUGGAUGAUGAAGCUCGGGAUCCUGGUAUCAGGACUGGGGUGGCUGAUGUCUUAGCAGCAGCUUCAGGAUCAUCAUGUCAAGUGACUGAGGUUGUUGGGGAGGAAGUUGCUGUUACGAGUUCAGAUCAAGGGUUGGUUGAGGAGGGUGCAGAGAAAGGGACAACAUCUGUUGAGGGAGGGGGUGAUGCACUUGGGCUGCAACAAAAAGAUAUUCGGGGUGAUGGUUUAUUAAAUCCUGGAAUUGAUGAUCCAGUUGUAUGUUAUUCAAUGGUUUCACCGUCCACUAGUAUGCAAACCACAGUUGUCACAGAGGAAGCUGCUGCUGUAGUCAAUGAUGAGUUUGUGAACAAUAAAGAUGAAAUAUCAUGUAGUGGUGCUAAGAUUGGGAAAGAAAACAAUGUCAGUUCAUUGGCCGGGACAGUUAGUGCAGUGAGGGACAGAGAUAAUACAAUCCAUUCAGAUGCUGAAUGUUUGAAACAAAAAGUUGAAGUUGCUGUUAGUGGGGAAGUUGGCGUUAUGAACAAGGAAGAGGUUUUGCAGCAAGAAGGCAGUAUAUAUUGUUCAGUAGAGGGUCACCCUUUAAAGCUUGAGAAGCUUGAGAUGGUUGAGAAGAACACUGAAAGUCAAGGUGAUUUUGGUGCUGAUUCAGUAUCCCACUUGGAGCCAACUUUUGUUGUAGCUGAUGGUGAAGUUACAGUUGUGGAUGAAAAGAUUUCUUUGAACCCCAAUGUUGAAGCUCCCGAGAGUGUUGUCAUUGUGGGUGAUGGACAGGAGCCAUUGACAACUGAAAACAGGGUGAUUGGUGUUUCUGAUGAUCACCGAGAUUAUGUAAAAGAUCAAGAGUUGGAUGUGAAGGAUGUGGGUGGGGGAAUUGGAGACCCUGAAAGGAAUGCUAGUCUAUCUGAUGAGCCACAGUUUUCUAAUGAAAAAAGCAAAAUUGUCAACAUAAAUGAAGUUUCAGUGGUGGACAGUGAGGUUGCAAGUUCCAAAGUGGAAACUCUGACAACUGAUGAUUUGAGUGGGACUCCAGCUUGUUCUGAAGAUGAUCCAAAUAUGAAGUUUGAGAAAAAACAGGCUAUCAUGCCGGAGCAUGGUCGUGUGCUUGCAGAUCCAGAAUCCUCAAAGGAUCAAGAUUAUGUUUUUCAUACAGAGGGAGUUGCAGCCAUGGAUGUUGAAAAGGCAUUGAACCAUGAAGCAGAUGUGGCAGGCAAUUGUAGUUCUACAGGAAAAGAUCAGUAUUUGGAGGUUGAGAAAGUUGAUGCAAGCUGUCAAAAGUGUGUGGUGCAUACAGGCCUGGAAGCAUCUGGGAAACAAACCCAAAGGGAGGUUCCCAAGCUUGAAGAUGUAGAUUUGAUGAAAGAUGAGAAUAAAGUCUUGAAUUCCAAUGCUGCAGUUUUGGAUUGUGAUUCAUUUUCACAGAAAGUUGAAGAGUUAAACACCCUGACUGUUGGUGAAACCACAGGAAAAGAGGCUAUUGCUCAGGGAAGCACUGAGGCAUCAGGCAAACAGAUUGAAACUGAAAACCAAGUGGAGUAUUCAGUUCUUGAGUCCAAGGUGACUGAAACUGUAGAGUUGAAGGUUGAGACCCUGGGCAAGAGUUUGGUAGAAGAUUCUUCUGUAGUUGCCAGUUCCAUUCCAGUUGGGGAGCAUAAUAGUGCUAUUCCAACAUGUCUGGAUGAUAAUACAUGCUUGCAUGAUGAGCAACAAGAGACAGUAGCCCAACUAGCUGAUUUACAUUCCCAUGAGGUAGAUGGUGAUCAGAGCAUGAAUGUGAUUGUUGAUGACACAGUGGUAAAGGGGUCUUGUGGGGAGGAACAUUCAAACACAGCUGCGGCUGCUGCAUGUGAAGUUGCACUCAACUGCCUGCCUACUCAUAAUGGUGGUGACCCUGUCUCUUCUUCUGUUAGUGACUCUACGGGCCCCUUACUAGAUAAACAUAAAAAAUUGGAAGUUCAUAUGGUAAGCCGUGAGAUUUCUGUUCCUAGUGCACUAAAUUCUAAUGAAGUGAUGACUACUGAAGCAAAAUGUGAACCUUACAAAUCUGAUGAACAGGUUCCCCAAGGGCAAGAAUCUAUGGGAGGCAGCCUAGUUGUGGAUUUGGAUAUCUGUGCCAACAAAGAUGGGAAAGUGAAGCCUCAAGAUGAAUCUCUUAAUGAAAAUGUUUCAUUACCAGAUGAGUGUCAAUUCAUAAGAGAUGAUGUUCAAAUGCUGGGAGGCAAAGUAGGAAUUGAAUUUUCUGAGUGCUUAGAUGGGAGUACAGCUACUGAUUUUUGUUUGGAUAAUUCUCAUGUUGGGCAGGAAUUUGAAGUUCAAGAACAAAAUAGUGAUGCUGAGCAGGUAGACCUGUAUGGAGGUCUAGAAAUAGAAAUGGGAGAUCAGGCUCCUGGUCAUGAACAGGCAAAACAUCUUGAGGAUAAAAGCUCAAAAGAAAUGACUCUGGACCCUGGAAGCUUUGCAAAGGUGCAUCAAUGUAACUUUCUGCUACCACCAGAAAAUGAAGGUGAAUUUUCUGUGUCUGACCUAGUCUGGGGUAAAGUCAGGAGCCAUCCCUGGUGGCCUGGGCAGGUAUUCGAUCCUUCAGAUGCAUCAGAAAAGGCAAUGAAAUAUUAUAGAAAGGACUGCUUUCUUGUAGCGUACUUUGGUGAUCGGACUUUUGCUUGGAAUGAGGCAUCUCUCUUAAAGCCGUUUUGGGCAAACUUCUCCCAAAUAGAGAAGCAGAGCAGUUCAGAAUCAUUCCAAAAUGCUGUCAGAUGUGCCUUGGAAGAGGUUUCAAGACGGAUUGAGUUGGGUCUUGCUUGCUCUUGCAUCCAAAAUGAUGCUUAUGACAAGAUUGAGUCUCAGGUUGUUGAGAACACUGGCAUCCGUCAAGAAUCAAGUAAAAGAUGCGGUGUUGAUAAAUCUGUAGGAGUGAGUUCCUUUGAGCCUGAAAAACUUGUAGAAUUUGUAAGAGCAUUAGCAGGGUCCCCUUCUGCUGGGGCUGAUCGACUGGGAGUUGUUAUUGCAAAGGCUCAGUUGUUGGCCUUCCUUCGGUUAAAGGGUUAUUAUGAGUUGCCUGAGUUUCAGUUUUGUGGAGGGCUACUGGAGAACAAUGUUGACAGUUCACAGUUGGGUGAAGUGAUUGACCAUCCACCUGGUGAUGAGCAACCCUUUUCCAUCAAGGGAAGGCCAAAAACUGAAAGUAGCUCUUCCCUUAAACGUAAACACAAUCUAAAGGAUAGUAUGUACCCUAAGAAGAAAGAGAGAAGUCUGUCAGAAUUAAUGAGUGAUAUGCCAUCGUCUCCUGAUGAUUGUGAAGAUGAAACAAGUAAGUCAGUUGCAUCAUCCUCUGGCAGGAAAAGAAAGGUUGUUGAUUUCAUUUCUGAUGACUCAGAGGUGCAAGAUAGGAGAAUCAGCAUUUAUGCUGCAAAAGUGUCCACCACUGCAUCUCCAAUUCCCAAACCAUCCUUUAAGAUUGGCGAAUGCAUUCGUAGAGCAGCAAGCCAACUGACUGGCAGCCCAUCGUCAAUUCUCAAAUCUAGCAAUGAAAAAUUUCACAAACUAGGAAACAGUGAAGAACCCACUGUAUUUGAUGAUUCUUUGCAGACUCCUGAUAACUCCCAAAGAGGAAGGAUGACUUUCUUCAUGGAAGACUCAUCCUUGGAUGAGAUGUUAUCACAACUUCUCUUUGCUGCCCAGGAACCUAUCCGAGAAUAUGGCUUUUUGACUACGAUUUCCCCUUUCUUUUCUGGUUUUAGGAACUCAGUUAGUUUGAUUCGUCAGAAUUCCUCUGUGGGAAAACUAGGUGGUGGUAGAAAGAAAAGAGCAUCUCAUGCCAUCAUUGGUUCUCCUGAAGAAUUUGAAUUUGAUGAUAUUAAUGAUUCCUAUUGGACUGACAGGAUUAUUCAGAACUGUUCUGAAGAGCAACCAUCAGGUGAUGGUCACAAUAGAGAAGUGAAAUAUCAACUCGUGACUUUUGAUCCAGAUAAAUCCCUCAAAUCAAGUCGUAGGUCUUACUCUAGAAAGCGGUUUUCUAAUGGGAACCAUCAAAUGGCCAUGGAGGAACCAAUCAGGCAUAUUGGUGAGAGGAAGCAAGAUAAUUCACCAACAGAACUUAUAUUGAACUUCUCUGAGGGAGAAUCUAUUCCUUCUGAAAUAAAUCUAAAUAAAAUAUUUAAGCGGUUUGGGCCAUUAAGGGAAGAUGAAACAGAAGUUGAUCUGGAGACUAGCCGUGCCAGAGUGGUUUUCAAAAGGUGUUCUGAUGCAGAAGUUGCUUUGAGCAGUGCUGAAAAAUUCAACAUUUUUGGGGAAAUGGCGGUUCAUUACCAACUCAGCUAUUUGCCAUCAGUCUCAAUCAAAACCUGGCCAAUGGAGACAUCGCAUGGCCUGGAGGAUGCAACCUGAUAUCUCUCUUUCAGAAAUUUCCUGGUAUUGGUUGGAAUGCUGUAUAAUGAACCAAGGUCAACAUGCUUUUCAAAUGGAUUGCUGAAGAAGGGCAAGGGUUAAAGUGAUGUUACUGCCUAUCUUGGAAUGGACUUCCACUUGCUAUCAUUCAUAUCAUUGGGCCUUUUCUCAUCCAAAGCCAUGUUAAGACUUUGUUGCACCAAAAAAAUCUUGAAUGCAGAGAGAAAUUGCUCUCUCUGUCGAACAGUGGCACCUUGUACUUCAACAAACUGACGUGGUGCCAUUAGAGUUUACCUACUUCUAUCAUAAUUAAUUGGGCCAGAAAAUUACACAAUGGGUCAAAUCUGUUCAAGUUUAGAACUCAGAACUGAGUCACAUCAGAAAAGGUUCUCUGUCACUGUCUUUUAAUCCAACCAAUCUCGGAGACUAAAAUUGACUAGGAUGAUUUUGCUGUCUUCUUCUCCUAUCUAAACCUGCAGAAAAUGGGUCAGUGGUUGUUUGCAGAAAUUGGAUUAAUUAGGAAUUUCUGGUCAUAGUUGUUAAACUGAGAUUUGAAUUGUGAAUCAGUGUAUUCAUUUUUCUAAUCAAGAAUUGUGAAUCAAAUCAAAUUGUAAGGUUCUGUAUACAUUUUUUAAAUCAAUAAAUAUAUGAAAUCCAAGCAUAAAUCUCAUAUUACUCAACCAAAAACUAAUAAUAUUCAUAUAGAAUAUCUAAUAUGUUAAAAGUAUAUCUCAAAGUACUACAUAAAUAAAACAAAAGAUAUCAAUAGUUUCUAUCCCCCCAAAAAAUCAAUAAUCAAUUACUAAGAUUAUAAUCUCUCUUCUAAGUUCUACCUAAUCAUUGUCAAAGUCAAAGUCAUCAAUGUCAUCUUUUCCUCCAUCAUCAUCAUUGAAUACAAGCAUAUCCUCUUCUUAUUCUUGACCGUCCUCAUCUUUUUUCUCCUCACUAUAAUCAGU